rnacentral:rRNA from 1 species
AGGAUUUUCUUAGUAGCGGCGAGCGAAAAGAAAAUAGUUCAGCACUAAGUCACUUUGUCUUAAUGGCAAAUGUGAGAUGCAGUGUAUGGAAUAUCUUAAUAUCUAGUAUGAGAAAUUAGCGAUUUAAGUCCUUCUUAAAUGAGGCCAUUUACCCAUAGAGGGUGCCAGGCCCGUAUAACGUUAAUGAUUACUAGAAAGAUAUUUCCAAAGAGUCGUGUUGCUUGAUAGUGCAGCACUAAGUGGGUGGUAAACUCCAUCUAAAACUAAAUAUAUCCAUGAGACCGAUAGUAAACAAGUACCGUGAGGGAAAGUUGAAAAGAACUCUGAAUAGAGAGUUAAAUAGUACGUGAAACUGCUUAGAGGUUAAGCCCGAUGAACCUGAAUAUCCAUUAUGAAAAAUUCAUCAUUAUA